rnacentral:rRNA from 1 species
GACGAGUCUCACAAACGUUAUUCGGAAUUACUGGGCUUAAAGGGUGCGUAGGCGGUGGGGUAAGUCGGGUGUGAAAUACCAUAGCUUAACUAUGGAACUGCACUCGAUACUACUUCGCUAGAGUAAGACAGAGGUGAGUGGAACUGAGGGUGGAGCGGUGAAAUGCGUUGAUAUCCUCAGGAACACCGGUGGCGAAGGCGACUCACUGGGUCUUUACUGACGCUGAUGCACGAAAGCUAGGGUAGCAAACGGG